CUGUGAUUUAAACAUUCUACACUUGCGUGAGCGCAACUACAACACGAAAAGCUAUGUACUAUUGUCAACAACAACAAACCAAAACA
rnacentral:misc_RNA from 1 species